UGUAAAGGCCCUUUUCCCCAGAACUUCAGAAGCACAAAUUACGCCAAAGGUUGUUCUGGACAAUAUCAAUUGGCCUGGAGAAGAGGACAUAGAUGAGGACAUCGUAUCCAUUGAUCAUCAUAGCAGGAUCAUGGGUUAUCUUCGUAGAUUUAUAGAGACGGGUACCUCUGAUAUGUUGAAGAGUCUGCUCACCUUCUGGACUGGAUGGAAUGUUGUUUCUCCGAACCUGGAGGUGGAAGUCAUUGACUGUGGUCUGCCCCAGGCAUCUACUUGCUUCAUGACCCUGAAGCUUUCAAAGAACUGCUUAAACUAUGAGGACUUCUCUCAGGAACUCAGUGCGAGCAUUUCUUCAUCAUACUCUGGUUUUGGCCAGAUUUAGGCUUUGAAGGAUUUGGUGGAAAGCUGGUGUAUGUUUUUUAAAGUACUUAGUACUGUUAGU